AAUUCUUCUUUGAAAUGUAGGAAUUCUAAUUCCCUGACUUAAAAAUAAUUGAAUUGUCCUUUGUAACCUCAAAACAUUUCCAAAUUUUCAAUUUUGCCCUUAGUUUAAAAUUUAGAAGAUGAAACCCUAAAAUCACUUUAUCUCUCGAUUUCUCUCUAUCUAGCAGCCCCCUCUAUGAUUUUCAUCCAUUUUCCCAGCCACUGCCAUCGAUUCAAAUCAGUUGCUGCCAUGGAUUCAUCUUAAAAUAAGGAGAACAAGACGAAAACCGACGUAAAUUUUUAUGAUUUUAUAGAUUUAUUAAGUUGUUUUAUGUUAAUUUUUUUGAUUUGUUGAGUUUAUGAUUCUGUUUGGUUGCUGAGAAAAUUAUGGCUAAUUUAUUUUUGUUUUGUGUGUUUAUUGAACUAGACUUGAUUAUUUUCUCUUUCAGUAUAUUUAAACAUUAGUAAGUGAAUAAAAAAAUGCAUAUGGAGCAUGAAUUAAACAAAUAAAGAGAGAAGAAACAUAGAGGAUGCAGAGAAUUACGAAACGAGAGAGAGUUAUUUAUUCAUUUAUUUUUUCCACUCCGAACAGUUUUAUCAGCGAGGUGACAUAGUUGAAAGAGUAAUCGCAUUAACAGAGCAAUGGUCUUCAGAAUGUGAUACGAAUUGACCAGAAGCGACUCGGCUGACGGAAAAUGCCGGUUGGGUUGGUUUCGGAAGUGUCACGAUGUCACUUGCUAACAUAACAGCCACAGAAGACAUAGUUGGUCUGUCCAUUGGAUCUUCCUGAACGCACAACAAUCCAAUAUGAAUAUAUUUCAAUAAUUCAGCCUGAUCGCAUGACUGUUUUACUACUGAAUCCAUCAACUCUGCUGCAUGUCCUUCACACCAUAGUUUCCAUAUCUGAAAUUGAUGUAAACAAAGAUCAUAUAUGAGAGUAAGAGAGUAUCAACCAUUGGCAGUUAUUUAUUUUUCCAGAAAGAAAGAAAGAAAGAGAAAAUUACAUACAUAAGCAAGGAGACUUGGACCAUGUUCUAAAUGAUAAAAUCCACUGCUCUUUUUCCCACUGAUAAUCUCCAGCAGGACAACUCCAAAACUGAAAACAUCUGAUUUCACUGAAAAUAUCCCUUCCAUAGCGUACUCCGGGGCCAUGUAUCCACUGUUUUGAAAAUAAAACAAUAAUGAUAUCAUAAUAAAUGCCUUAGAGAAAAACUAGUGCCAUAUAGUACGACCCUAGUUUAAGGUCAUAAUUGGCUAAAACCAUACACAAUACAAUAUGGGUUGGCUAUGUUAAAGCCUUGAAA
rnacentral:lncRNA from 1 species